AGAGUUUGAUCCUGGCUCAGAUUGAACGCUGGCGGCAUGCCUUACACAUGCAAGUCGAACGGCAGCACGGGAGCUUGCUCCUGGUGGCGAGUGGCGAACGGGUGAGUAAUACAUCGGAACGUGCCCGAUCGUGGGGGAUAACGCAGCGAAAGCUGUGCUAAUACCGCAUACGAUCUACGGAUGAAAGCGGGGGAUCGCAAGACCUCGCGCGGACGGAGCGGCCGAUGGCAGAUUAGGUAGUUGGUGGGAUAAAAGCUUACCAAGCCGACGAUCUGUAGCUGGUCUGAGAGGACGACCAGCCACACUGGGACUGAGACACGGCCCAGACUCCUACGGGAGGCAGCAGUGGGGAAUUUUGGACAAUGGGCGCAAGCCUGAUCCAGCCAUGCCGCGUGCAGGAUGAAGGCCUUCGGGUUGUAAACUGCUUUUGUACGGAACGAAAAAGCUCUCUCUAAUACAGGGGGUGAAUGACGGUACCGUAAGAAUAAGCACCGGCUAACUACGUGCCAGCAGCCGCGGUAAUACGUAGGGUGCAAGCGUUAAUCGGAAUUACUGGGCGUAAAGCGUGCGCAGGCGGUUAUGUAAGACAGAGGUGAAAUCCCCGGGCUCAACCUGGGAACUGCCUUUGUGACUGCAUAGCUGGAGUGCGGCAGAGGGGGAUGGAAUUCCGCGUGUAGCAGUGAAAUGCGUAGAUAUGCGGAGGAACACCGAUGGCGAAGGCAAUCCCCUGGGCCUGCACUGACGCUCAUGCACGAAAGCGUGGGGAGCAAACAGGAUUAGAUACCCCGGUAGU
rnacentral:rRNA from 1 species